CCCUGUGGAAAAAAGAAAAUAGAUGGAAGCCUAAGAUGUUCUUUUUUGUUGAUUGAAAAGAUGCUAUCUUUAAUGAACUGAUGGGCUCAAAUCCACUUUUUCUCCCAGUUAAACUAGGUAGCUGGUUUUUUUCUUGCAUAUCUAAUACAUCAGAAUGGGGCAAAGGUGUUUUCUUUGCUUUUUCUUCUGCUCUCCUUUAAUCCUCUUCCUCCCAGUUAAAUGAAGGACAGCAGUAGCUCAGAAACAAGGGAGAGUGCUGCAGGGCUGUUAUUACUAUAAAAUUUGAAGUAAACUGCUUAAAAGAGAUUUAAAUCUAGAUUGUUAUUUGUAAAAGGUCUUGCAGAGGUAUUUACUGAACUGGGGGAAGAAAGAGAAGAUGAUAGAUGGAGGUGGUUAUCUGUGUCACAUCAGCUUAGCUGAACAUUCCCAGCACGCUGUGCGAGGUUCCGAGACCGCAACUUCAAUGAGUGUCUGCACACCAGGUCAGUGGGACAGGCUGCUGUUGCUGGGAUGAGUUCUGAUGCACAAAUGAGUUCUUUAUUUUACAACAGCAGCUUUCAUGUAUCUAAGCUAAAAAUUAAAACAGUUCACCCAUGGUAUCUGUCUGACCUUGUGAACCCAUUCACAUUUCCCAGCGGGAGAUGAGUGACUUGUGACACACAGGAUAUGCCAAACACCAAUUAGACACUUAGGAUGAAGUUCAUUUUAGCAGUUCUGACCUCAGUGUUUCCAUGUAACAUUCUGUAAAUGGCACAUUUGUAUUAUAAUAAGCCAGAGCAAUUCAUUCUCCUUUUGUUUUAAUCUCUACAUUAACCUGUACCCAUUAUGGUUUUUUACCUUGGGCACAGGCAUUUUGGCUGACACGAACUCACACAACUCUCUCUGUCAUAAAUUCAAAGAGAGCAAGCUGUACCAGACAGAAUUACCCAGUUGUAUCCCUCUCUCCCCAGUUGCUACCAACUAUUUUGCUGUGGCAGAGAAUUUCCCAAUAUCAGCAUUUAGUGAAGCCUUGGAGCUGCUCUGUGUUAAAGCUUGAGCUGAACAGGACCCUAGCACAGAGCAAGAAAACUGAUGCAGAUUCAGGGCUAUCAACUCUAAUAUACAGUGGAUUAUUUUCAUUUUGAAGAGCUAAUGUUUAAGCUCACUUUCAAAUGAAUGCAUCCACAACCUGUCUGUAGUCUGUGCUGGUCAUUAUUUUUACUGUGUAAUUCUGUCACCUACGCAAUUUUCUGAUUUUUCUUAUUUUGCCAUUAUCCAUAUUGUAUAUGCAGAGGUAAUGUAUGAUAUUGCUGCUGCUUUCCAUUUGUGCCUUAGAUUAACGUUUUAGUUCAAUCAAUCUGGCUUCCUUGUAACACAACAUCGUGAUCAAUCUUACAGGACCAGAAUAACAAUAAAAUUACAUUUCUAGAAUAAGAUGGAUUCUAAACUUAUUAAAUAUAUCCUCACUGGAAUACAUAAGAAUGAAACAAAAUCCUUCAUCACCUCACCUACAGAAGACAUAUUUGUAAUCUAAAGCUGCCCUUCCUAUUGAAAUUUAUUGCUUCUAAACUACAACUAUUAGAACUCAAUCUUCAAUUAAUUUUUCACUUUUUUCAUACAUUGGACCUCUUAUUGUCACUUAAAUGAAUCAUUUGUAAGGUUACUGUAAAUCUAAUAGGAUACAUUUCCAUGUGAUGUAUUUUUGUUAAGAACUACUCAACAAGUAGGCCUCUGCCUCUUGUUUAGACUGCUCCUCCUUCUUGCUCUGAACCCAGAUUUUACUCUUGGGUCAUUGAGGGUAAACCUGUAUUGUAAAUUUACUGCUUUAAAUUUAGGAUUAAUAAAGUUGAAAUUGUAUCUCCAACAGACUUGGGGAAAAUGCUGCCCCAGUUAACAGGGCAAAGUGAGCCUGUGAGGCUACUGGUCCCAACACCUCCAGGUGAGGUGUUUUUGAAGCCAGGGAUUCUGCAUUCCACAGAAGGCUCUGAACUAACAGCAGUGUAUCCUAAGUGCAUGUUCUUAGCUCCUGCCAGGCUGGAACAGGUCACUGCAUCCUGUGCACCAUCCCACCAGAAACAGCCCAGAAGCAGCUGAUGCACAGGGCCUGGCGGGUGAGAGAGGCAGGAGCUCAGUCCAGGCAGCCUGUGGGGCCCAGGCACCCCAUGCUGGGAGCUGCCCAGCCUUGUGUGCAGGUCUGCUGGCUGAACUGGGGGUGAGAUCAGUGCAGGAAUGGGGGCUGGUGGCUAGAGACCUCUCUCUCUACGACUACUCUGCAGCUGACUGAGGUUUUAAGGCUAAAUUCCAAAAGCUGUUCUUUGAAUUUAGGAAUUCUGAAAGACAUUUAAAUAUGGAGGACCUUCUCAUUUAAUGGGAGUUCUGGAUUCUCCUAGAUUGCAUGCUAGUAAGCUUUGGAUUUGAACUCUGGCUUGAGUACACCAUAACCCAAAUUAACUGUGCUGUGUUAUCUUCUAACUCUGCAAUUAGCUUGUGUCACCAGCAAAUGAAAUGCAUGAGUAAUUUCUAUACGGAAAUUGCUUGCCACCUCAUUUAUUAACAUUAAAACAGAUGCUGUUUUAUCACUGACUGAUACUGGACAUUAAUCAGUAUUUUGUCAGACUCUGCAUGCAUAUUAAUAUCACAGCUGGGAGGAAUCUGGGGAAGUUCCUCUGUAAAAUAUCCUGUACCUCCUGCCUGAUCAUCUGCCAGCACAGCACCCAUGGAAGUGCUUGUACCCCUCUCAGGCAGCUACUGUUUACCCCUUGAGUGCACAUUUUCCCACAGAUGGUAUCCACCUACAGCAAAAGCUGGAAGUACAGCACAAAAGAAACAAGGCAGGAAAACCAGGCCACCCUAUACCACAGUCUGGUCAGCCUUUUUCCUUAGAAAUGAAGAGCCAUAAUAAAUCAACCCUCUAAAACUAUAGGUGUUCCCACACUUUGUAAAGUAAUUCAUAUCUUGAUGGGUGAAUAAAAAGUGUCAUUUAUAUGUUGAGUGAUGGGCAAGGUGGUGGGUCAGGACUAUGAACAUUUCUAGAUAAUUUUUUUGCUUUCUAUUCCCAGGAUCCCAUUCCCAUAAUUACUCCUGUUUUCCAAACCAUGUAUGCAUUUUGUUAUUAAGGUAAUGAGGUGAGGCAUAUGGACCAAAGAACAGGACUAGCUCACAUACAGCUUACAGUCCUUUGGGCCUCUCUUCCCAUCAAGCCCUGAUAAGCUCCAGGAAAUGUAACUAGCAACAACUGCUGCUUUGCAUUUGAUUUAAAGGAACUGAAGAGAGAGAGAGAGAGAGAGAGGUAAGAAAACACUAAAGUAUUUCAAAUACCAAUUUUCAGGUGAAUUAUCAUGGAAAAUAGCCUGGCAGUCAAAUGAGGAUUCUUCUAGGAAAAUUAUCUGGUUCAAAAACUGGAACAAAAAUUAUUCGCAUUAGUUAAAAUAAGGCUCAGAAUGAAGUGUUAAGCUUCUGGGAGCUCCAGAAGGCCCAUGAGGAGGAGAAGAGUUAAAGAGGGUUCAUCUCACUAACCCCUUGAGUCUUCCUUGUGUACAUGAGUACCCUGAGACCUGCCAGGAACCAGCCUUUCUGUCUCUGCUGCCCAUAAUCCCACGGACAGGGGCUGGAAUUCUUACUACCUCAUUCAGGCUUGUCUUGUCCUUCCCAGCCCUGCUGCUGAGCAGUCACAAAGGGAAGCAGCAGCACUGCAGUGCCUUCAGGAAUUGUCGUGGUAUCUGGGCACACUGUCAGGCUGCUGCUGAAGGGAGGCAAGAGGACAAUCCUGCAUCUCCCAGUUCAGGAGUGAGUCCUGUGCAUGCAAUGGGCUGCCAAAGGGAGUUCUGAGAGGGAAAUGCUUCCCAUCUGGAGUGCUAAUUUGCUCCAGCAAAGGCUAGGAUUGGAUCCUUGGGCACUGGAAAAAAUACAGCAAGAUGGCUUGUCUGUAUUGGGACAAAUGAGUGAGAGGUGUACACACUUGCCAAAAAUGUUUGCAAUGUGCACGGAAGCACAAGCUUUCAUCUUGUUACAGAACGUACAGGUCUGAAGUAUUUAGCAGCAUGAGAGCAAUAUCAAGCCAUUAACCCUUACUACAGCAUAAAUCUGUAGCGAGCAAAGGGGUUUGAAAGUACAUAUAAUUUUGCUGUAAAGUGCUAGAAAUUUAUAAUAAUCAGGACACUAAGUCCAGCUCAGCUAUAAAACCCAGUGUCCAGUGAAAGUAAAUAGAAAUGAAUCUAAAGCACCUUGUUGCAAUUAAUAGUGACAAAUCUUUUAGUCUGUGCUCCAGACUCCUGGACUAUUUUUCCUGCACGGGUGCAAAGCAAUUUGGUUAAUGAUCUUAAGCUAAUAAUUUGUAGCAGAAUCAACAGCACGAUAUUCGCGGUACCUUUGAGGUGUCCUUCACGUUACAGAUGUGACACUAAUUUAGUUCCAUGACAGUGAUCACCACACUCAUUACUUAUUCCACAAAUUAAUACUUAAAAAUGAAUUGGUAUCUAUCUGCUGAAGUUAUAAAUUUGGUGAUAUUAAUUCUGAAUAGAAAUAAGAUUUUUUGGGGUUCAUUUUUUUUUUUCAAUCUUAAUGAUUCUGCAGUUGCACAGCAAGUAGGAUAUCCAAACCAUCUAGUGCACACACAUUUUUGUUGUUUUGUUGGGAUUUUUUGUUUUGUUUUUUUUUUAUUUCAAUGGUAGAUUCUUAUUCUGUCUGACAGAAAACCAGGAAAUAUGGCUUACAAUUACAGAAUAUUUCUUUCUUUCUGCUAUUCUGUUCUGUUGUCUUAUUUCUUUGAAAGGAAGCACUGUUUCAACUUCUUAAUGAGUGGCUGAAGAGCAAGCUAAGAAGGUUAACUCUAUUUAUGGCAAGAAACUCCUUUCAUAGAUCUUCAUGGACAGCUUCUUCCAGGCAUGGCAACUACAGUUUUCCCCUUCACCACCUGGGGAAUCAAGCUGAAGUAAAGACACUUCAUAUUACUUUGAUUAAGAAAUGACCUUUUCCCUUUUUACAACCAGGUGUGCAUAGCUUUAUGUUAAGAUUUUUUUAUGAAGACUGUAAGAAUAAUUACAUCUAUCACUGGUAGGAUUGAUCUACAGCCUUCCUUGUAUUAGAAUUUAAGUCCAUUUGAUUUCAGUGUAUUGGUUCCAUGAAAGCCUUUUAUAUUGUCUCAGUGACAUUCUUCAUCUCUCUUAAAACAGUUUGUUUGGGUUUAGUUGGGUUUUUUAUAUGUAUCUAAAUUAUUCUGAAUUUUUCUGAAAAGUCAGGAUUACACAUUAUUUUGCAGUAAAAUGCUGUAUUCUGUAUUUUUAGAUAAUCAAUUUAAGAAUUACUUCCAUGUGCCACUGGAAUACAGCCACAUCCGGAGUAAGACAGACCAGCCACUUACAGAAACUGUAGUAGUAUGUCUUGGCCAACUGAGAUGACAAAGGAAUGAGAUGCUGUGCUGUAGAAGGCACUAAUGUCAAGAGCUCAGCAGAAACCUCCUGGGGAACAGCAGCAUUCUGGACUAUACAAUGUUCUGCUCCUGCCCCCACAGGUACCUAAAUUUUCUCCCUUACAGAUUCUUUCCUACCCAUGUUUCUUUUCAUCUUCCCUUUCUUCUGUGCUGCUUAUUCAUUUAUUUUCAUCUCCCGUUUUAAUCUUCUCAGCCCUUCAAGUAUGCUGUCUGUGCCCUCUAAAGGAGUCGUUCAUACACAGCAGAGCCUGCAGUUUAUUAAAAUCUACAGGGCCUGUUCCUCAGGCUGAAUUUUGCUGGCAUCUGAGUGCCUUUGAUUCACACUGGGAGUUCAGGGUACCCAUGACUGAGUUCACUAUAAACUUGUUAUAAUGUCAUUAAUGGCUCAAAUGCCUUGAGAAUAUUUCAGGAGCUGAGCCUGGUGCCUGUGCAGAAAAAGAAAUGCUUCCAUCACACACUCACUACCGGCCUCUGGCUCUGGAUGGGUGCUGCAGAACCAGAAAGAGCAGCUUGCCUGAAAUGGCACAGCAUGUGUCACAAAAAGAACAGGAUCCUGGCAAUGUCAGGGAAGGAAUGGAACCCUGGCUCCCUGUGGCAGAACUGAAGUUCUGAGACUGAAGCAGGGGAGGGAAACUGUUCCUCAGAACCGGGGACAGCACAUGAUCCUACCCUGGAUCACCAAAAGCAUAAUCCAGGAAAGGAGGUGGCGGUGUGCAUUCCUUGUGUCCAGGGCCUCCCCCUGGGGCUCAUGAUGGCCAGGUUACAGUGCAGUUACAGCUUUUUGACUUCUAUGCCUUUGCAAAUACUGAGCACACAGAUAUAACCCUCUGCACUUUUCUUGAAGGGCACGAACACUUAAUUCACCUUGCAUUACUCUGGAAAAGACAUUCACAUCACAACUGGCAGGGUAUGUGCCCUUGUUAUCCUUCCUUCUUGUUCUGGCAGAGACCAGAACACACCGACUGGAGAUGAAGAAGAACCCUUAAUGUUACAAAACUGACCAAGUUACUCUGUGCUCUGGUGUGAGCCUUAGUCAGCCAGGAACUCAGAUCCACUGUAACUGAACAGAGCUCUGUAAGCAAACCAUGUGGGGUGUGACAAAGGCAGCAAAUGCCAAGCAAAUGUUCCCUUCAGCUAAGAGGAUACAACAGUUUCCUCUAACAUUGGUUCUGCCUUUCUCAUGUAGCCCAGAAAAUGAAAUCUGUGCUCGAGUCUUCCCUGUCCACAAGAGGAUUGAUCCCUGUUCCAAGCUUUGGUGUGUGUGUUUUUUAUUUGUAGGCUAGCACAUCUGACUCUGAGUUACUGCACAAUAAACCUACCUCUUCAUCUGCAUCUAAGUGGGGACCCUGUGCCAUUUUUACAGCAGCAUAUUUAAUAAGUAAAAAACUUCAUUAAAAAUAAAUGUCUUUCAUGCUGGGAAGUCUUUGGUUUGAACGCCCAUUUUCAAACAUUAUAUGUGAAAAUACUCAAGUACUGCAGUGGGUCACUUACUACAAAUUUGAUUUGAAGAUCAGCCUACAAGUCUCAUAAACAGUCUCAUAAAGAUGUAAGUAUCAUAAUAACUUUCCAUUUUCCACUUGCAAGUAUAAGAUUAACUGUUCUGAAGCACCUAAUGUAUGACUAAUGUUUAUUUGUUUUACAAGAAGCUUUACAGCUGCAACGUUCCAAAAAUGCUUAAAUUCAAUAAACAGCUAUUAUAAUUCA